rnacentral:tRNA from 1 species
UGGGGGAUCGUUCAACGGUAGGACAACGGACUCUGACUCCGUUUAUCUAGGUUCGAAUCCUAGUCCCCCAACCA